CCCCAGUCGCCCCCGCCUCCGCCUCCUCCUCCCGAGGCUGCGCUGCUCCCAGCCACCCCCACUCUCCGCGGCCCUCGACAGGAAAGACAGCGGGGAGAAGCCUCACCCGGUUCUGGCUGCAGCUCCGCGGAACGAACCUCCCCUCCCCCGGCCCACCCCCCUUCGGCGACACGCACAACUCCGCUCGGUCCAGUCCCGGCUUUAGCGAUGGUGAGGAGGAGGCAGAGGAGGCGGCGGCGCGGCGGAGCCCCGGGAAGCCCCGCCCUCCGCACGCUCAUUGGCUGCCGGCGAGGGCGGCCCGGAAUGCCUCGGGCAGGUUCCAUUGGCCCAGUCGGCCUUCUUUCAGGACUCUCCUCCGUGUGGUAGUCACUGAGGCUGUCCGUCAGUCGUGGGCCACGCCCUCCGGCCGGCUGGCCCUCCCCACCACCACCACC
rnacentral:lncRNA from 1 species